rnacentral:pre_miRNA from 1 species
AAGUUAAGAAAAAGUGAUUGGCGGAGAGAUCUCUUGGUGAAAGUUAAGAAAAGUGAUUGGCAGAGAGAUUUUCUCUCCGCCAAUCACUUUUUCUUAACUUUCA